GCCCUUCUAUUAGCCAUCAGUAGGAUUACACAUGCAAGUAUCAGCGCCCCGGUGAAGAUGCCCUCUUAAUCACCAACGAUAAAGAGGAGCGGGUAUCAAGCACACUAUACAGUAGCUAAAAACGCCUUGCCUAGCCACACCCCCACGGGAUACAGCAGUGACAAAAAUUAAGCCAUGAACGAAAGUUCGACUAAGCCAUACUAGCCUAUAGGGUUGGUAAAUUUCGUGCCAGCCACCGCGGUCAUACGAUUAACCCAAGUUAAUAGACAUACGGCGUAAAACGUGUUAAGGAAACUACCCACACAAUAAAGUUAAAUCUUGGGUUAUGCUGUAGAAAGCUUUAGCCCAGACAAAAAUAAACCACGAAGGUGACUUUAAACAAUCCGACUACACGAUAGCUAAGACACAAACUGGGAUUAGAUACCCCACUAUGCUUAGCCCUAAACUUAAGCAGCUAAACUAACGAUGCUACUCGCCAGAGUACUACUAGCAACAGCUUAAAACUCAAAGGACUUGGCGGUGCUUUAUAUCCCUCUAGAGGAGCCUGUUCUGUAAUCGAUAAACCCCGAUAAACCUCACCAACUCUUGCUAAUACAGCCUAUAUACCGCCAUCUUCAGCAAACCCUAAAAAGGAAAUAAAGUAAGCAAAAUCAUAAAACAUAAAAACGUUAGGUCAAGGUGUAGCCUAUGAGUUGGAAAGAAAUGGGCUACAUUUUCUAGUAUAGAACAUCAACGAAAAUUUUCGUGAAACCGGAAAUAGAAGGAGGAUUUAGUAGUAAAUUAAGAACAGAGAGCUUAGUUGAAUUAGGCCAUGAAGCACGCACACACCGCCCGUCACCCUCCUCAAGUAUAAAGAUACAUGCCCAAUCCUAUUAAUAAAUGUACACACACAUGAGAGGAGAUAAGUCGUAACAAGGUAAGC
rnacentral:ncRNA from 1 species